AGCUUCCCGUCAGAAUGCCUUAUCCAGUCUUGCAGAACAACAUGAACUGGAACUGAAGGACUAAGCCCGAGCUCCUGUUUGAAGAAACCGGAUAGGAAAAAUUAGCAAGCUAGAAGCUGAGAAUUAAAGAUAUUUUCAGGAAUUUUGCAAUACUUCAGUUGACAAAGUUCAGAAAUCAAUUUAGGCACAGAAUUAAAGAUUUUUCCGCAAUUUUGCAAUACUUCAGUUGACAAAGUUCAGAAAUCAAUUUAGGCAAGUUUAGUCCUGCCACCACCAUAUUCCUAUUUGUUUUUUAUUUCUUACCACGCAAUAAAUGAUGAUUUAACUCAUAUAAAA
rnacentral:lncRNA from 1 species